ensembl:snRNA U2 U2 spliceosomal RNA
AUCACUUCUCAGCCUUUUGGCUACGAUCAAGUGUAGAAGCAUUUUUUGACCAUGUGACACUUUUGGCUUCCUAGUCCUAGGAAAAAACAAUCUUAGAUUUCUAGGAAGAACUGAGAAGCUGAGGCACCAGACCCUUUGUCUGACAUGGUGCAUUUUUUGUGUAUAAAAUGCCUUUCCAUAUAAAAAGAAGUGUGAAU